rnacentral:sRNA from 1 species
GGGGAGCUCAUUUCAUAGCCGGAUGGUU